UAGAGGUAAGUGGAAUUCCGCAUGUAGGGGUAAUAUCCGUAGAUAUGCAGAGGAACACCAAAAGCGAAGGCAGCUUACUGGACCAGUUCUGACGCUCAAGAACGAAAGCGUGGGUAGCGAACGGGAUUAGAUACCCCGGUAGUCCACGCCCUAAACGAUGAACACUAGGUAUUGGAGGUCUCGACCCCUUCAGUGCCGACGCAAAUGCAAUAAGUGUUCCGCCUGGGUAGUACGAGCGCAAGCUUAAAACUCAAAGGAAUAGACGGGGACCCACACAAGCGGUGGAGCAUCUGGUUUAAUUCGACAAUAAGCGAGGAACCUUACCAAGGCUUGACAUCCCGAGAAGACCGCCGAAAGGUGAUUGUGCCGUUAGGAACUCGGUGACAGGUGCUGCAUGGUUGUCGUCAGCUCGUGCCUUGAGGUGUUCGGUUAAGUCCGUGAACGAGCGCAACCCUUGUCUCAAGUUGCAUAUUUCUUGAGAGACUGCCGGUUUCAAAUCGGAGGAAGGUAAGGAUGACGUCAAAUCAGCAUGGCCCUUAUGUCUUGGGCGACACAGGUGCUACAAUGGCCGGUACAAUGGGCAGCGAAGGAGCAAUCUGGAGCAAAUCCUCAAAACCGGUCCAAGUUCGAAUUGAAGGCUGCAACUCGCCUUCAUGAAGUUGGAAUCGCUAGUAACCGCAUAUCAGCCAUGGUGCGGUGAAUCCGUUCCUGGGUCUUGUACUCACCGCCCGUCAAGUCAUGAAAGAUGGGGGUGCCCGAAGUACCCUUAGCUAAUUUAGCGGGUCCUAAG
rnacentral:rRNA from 1 species